rnacentral:rRNA from 1 species
UACGUAGGGAGCAAGCGUUGUCCGGAAUCAUUGGGCGUAAAGCGCGCGUAGGUGGCCAUGUAAGUCCGCUGUGAAAGUCAAAGGCUCAACCUUUGAAAGCCGGUGGAUACUGCAUGGCUAGAGUACGGAAGAGGCGAGUGGGAAUUCCUGGUGUAGCGGUGGAAUGCGCAGAUAUCAGGAGGAACACCAAUAGCGAAGGCAGCUCGCUGGGACGUUACUGACACUGAGGCGCGAAAGCGUGGGGAGCGAACAGG